rnacentral:rRNA from 1 species
UACGUAGGGUGCGAGCGUUGUCCGGAAUUAUUGGGCGUAAAGAGCUCGUAGGCGGUUUGUCGCGUCUGCUGUGAAACUGGGGCUCAACCCCAGCCUGCAGUGGGUACGGGCAGACUAGAGUGGCGGUAGGGGAGAUUGGAAUUCCUGGUGUAGCGGUGAAAUGCGCAGAUAUCAGGAAGAACACCCGGUGGCUAAGGCGGCUCUCUAGUACGGUACUGACGCUGAGACGCGAAAGCGUGGGGAGCGAACAGG